AUGCACGCUGGCGGCGUGCCUCAUACCUGCAAGUCGAGCGAACAGAUGAGGAGCUUGCUCCUCUGACGUUAGCGGCGGACGGGUGAGUAACACGUGGAUAACCUACCUAUAAGACUGGGAUAACUUCGGGAAACCGGAGCUAAUACCGGAUAAUAUAUUGAACCGCAUGGUUCAAUAGUGAAAGACGGUUUUGCUGUCACUUAUAGAUGGAUCCGCGCCGCAUUAGCUAGUUGGUAAGGUAACGGCUUACCAAGGCAACGAUGCGUAGCCGACCUGAGAGGGUGAUCGGCCACACUGGAACUGAGACACGGUCCAGACUCCUACGGGAGGCAGCAGUAGGGAAUCUUCCGCAAUGGGCGAAAGCCCGACGGAGCAACGCCGCGUGAGUGAUGAAGGUCUUCGGAUCGUAAAACUCUGUUAUUAGGGAAGAACAAAUGUGUAAGUAACUAUGCCCGUCUUGACGGUACCUCAUCAGAAAGCCACGGCUAACUACGUG
rnacentral:rRNA from 1 species